rnacentral:rRNA from 1 species
AUUGAACGCUGGCGGUAGGCCUAACNCAUGCAAGUCGAACGCGAAAGUCCUUCGGGAUGAGUAGAGUGGCGGACGGGUGAGUAACGCGUAGGAAUCUAUCCUGUAGUGGGGGAUAACGUUUCGAAAGGAACGCUAAUACCGCAUACGCCCCAAGGGGGAAAGCGGGGAUCUUCGGACCUCGUGCUAUAGGAGGAGCCUGCGUCGGAUUAGCUAGUUGGUGAGGUAAAGGCUCACCAAGGCGACGAUCCGUAGCUGGUCUGAGAGGAUGAUCAGCCACACCGGAACUGAGACACGGUCCGGACUCCUACGGGAGGCAGCAGUGGGGAAUAUUGCGCAAUGGGCGAAAGCCUGACGCAGCCAAUACCGCGUGUGUGAAGAAGGCCUCGG